rnacentral:lncRNA from 1 species
GAAAAGGAGCGCCAGCAUUGUUUCUUGUUUCUUUGGGGGGCGGUCACAGGGGAGGGCUCUCUAACUCCUGAUCUUGGCUUGGGAACAGAGCAAGGAAUGCAAAAUCCAGCUCUUUUCAAAAGUGCCGCUCUGGUUAAACUUUCCACAAUAAUACAUCUGGGAUUUUUCAUUUUUCACAUGGUUAAACAAAAGAAAAUAUUUUGGGUGAGGAACGUAACAUAGAGUAUGUUUUUAGUAGUAAACUGUGGAACCUCCUACCCUACAAUCCAGUUCUUUUCC